UUAUGAUUUAAAUAGAAUGGAUGCAUGGGAAAUGUUUGGUAACAAUGAGAGGAAGGAGAAGGAGAAGUAGCUAGGAAGCCAUACUUUUGGCUGUUUAACGGUGCACUAGAUUUUUCUGCGCGAUCCUAUUAUCCAUAACAUUUCUAUUGGCACUUUUUUUUCACAAAUUACAACAUUUGGAGUAGUGAACGACCAAAAAUAUAGAGACUUUCAAAAAAUGAUUUAUUUAAAUGAUUUUAGGUCUUUGUCUCCUUCAUUGUGUCUAUCUUGUCCCACAAAGUGUGAUGCAUCGCAUUGUAUACCCAUCUCAACCAGUCGGUCUAUAAGGACGUGAUUGUUUUCAUGCAGUAGUGUGCUACAGGUACAGCAUCUGUUGUCCAUAGAAACAUUUAUUUAAAGGCAUUCUACACAGCAAAUUGGCCAGUGUUAACAAGUGUUCAUUCUCUUGGUGUUACAUUAGCUGUGUUAAGAGGUGUUGAUUUAAAAGUUGUUUUUCUCACUCCCAGGUGAGAGUUACUGUACAGAUGUUGGGCGGUGGCAGUGAGCAGUGUUGAUUGAGCUUCCAAUUUUAACUUGAACCUUCCUGUGCAUCUAAUUGCCUAUGGUUCAAUGGCAGCUGGAAUUGUGCAGUAGUGUAAGGAGUGCAGAGUAACAUGUUGGUGAAGGUCCAAUACCAAAAAUGCAAGAAGUUUAUGAAGUUGCAGCCUGGUUUCAUUAAUCAGAUCUUUCAUUAAUCAAGUCCAAAAUAGGUUUGGACUGCCCCCUUCAGCACAAAUACACGUUAUUGAUGAUUCACAAAAGGAGGUGGAGGAUGUCCUGCUGGACCUGAUUGAGGCCAGUCCAGACCUGUGCCUCACAAUCUUUCUACAGUCUCACAUAAUGUUUUCAAGUAACAUGAAUGUAUAGAUUGAUUGCUUUGAUCCAUUGUUUGUGCUCAGACUUUUUCCUGCCGGCUGUCUAACAUCUACUUCGUGAAUAGACACAUUAUCCCUCUCGUCAAGUGAUUUAGACCUGAGAUUUAAAAAGGUCAAAACAACAUCAGGAGAUUUAGCCAUAACUGAUAUUGGAUGUUGAUAAUCCCAUUUCUGUGUUUGGUCUUCAUGGAGAUACCAACAGCAUAAAACAACCCAAAAUUGUUUAACUUUUGUCUUGUCUUAAUAGAUGGUCCGAGAUGCCCUGACUAGUAGACCUGGUGGGUAAGACAUAUUAGAUGUUGAAGUUGAGUUGAUCCACUUUGUUUUAGGUAAAUCAGGACUUUUUGCUGAUGUUUGACAAUGAAACAACCUCUAAAUUCAUUGAAAAGUUGGACACUGUAUUGAAGCCUAAAGUCAUCAAAUUGGCAAAAUCCCAACAGCGACCACCGAUUUGUGUCGCCUGCUGAAAACUGCCAGAGAAUGACAGCGAAACCAACUGUGACAAUGAUAUGUCCUCCAUGCUGCUGCUGCUUCAUCUCCUCCUACCACCAGCAGGAGGGAAGAGGACCAAGAUCAGUGCCAGUGAUGCUGUGGGCAGACUAGUGCACUUUCAUAAGUCAUGCUGCAGCAUUGAAGACCAUCUUGAUGUGAGCCAUGGUCAACAACCAUACCUCCUUGCCGUCAGAAGAAGACAGAGCAAGAUUGACAACUACUACAUUGGGGUGGACAAGAGGCUUGUUCACUGUCAGGCAGCUAGUGGUCUGUGUGUGUUUGAACUGUUCAAAAGCCCACUUUGUCUUUAACCUGAUGUAUGAUGAUGCGCUUGUCAACUUCUAUACAUUUGUGCAGACAACCAUCUACAACAUUGAUGUAGACAAAACAAGAGAGACCCCUAGCGUGAUAGUUGUGGACAAAACGUCUUAACUAUAUAAAUGUAUACUACGGUGCUUUGUUGCACAGAAACAGCCAGUCAUUGAUAUUUCAUUUGAUAAUAGCUUCUAUCCCUCCACCAAGUUCAGAUUGAUCUGUGCUCAAAUCAAAUCAAAUUUAUUUAUAUAGCCCUUUGUA